ACGUGGAGUUUCGCCAAUCAACAUCCAACUUCCUCGGAAAGGCGGGAUAGAGGCUCUGAUUGACAGCUUCCCGAGCCAAUCAGCUUUGCAAGUACCUCAGCCUCCUCUCAGCGCUCCGGAGUCACUCCGAUUCGAUAGCGGUGGGAGGAGCAUCCAACCCCUGAGAAGAAAGUCUGACAGCAUCCAAAGCAGCUUCCAGCUUCCCCAAGUGUUCACCGCGGCGUGGUGGUGAGGCACCAUGUUUGUUGCCAAAGGCGCCUGGACAUUGGUGGCCCCAGGACAACUUCCUACUCACAUCCCUCCUG
rnacentral:lncRNA from 1 species